rnacentral:tRNA from 1 species
CGGGACGUGGCUCAGCCUGGUAGAGCGCUGCGUUCGGGACGCAGAGGUCGCUGGUUCAAAUCCAGUCGUCCCGA